UAUUGCAUAAUCCCAAAAGCGGAGGAAAAGAAACCAACAGGGAUUGCCUUAGUAACGGCGAGUGAAGCGGCAAAAGCUCAAAUUUGAAAUCGGCCACCAGGUCGAGUUGUAAUUUGUAGAUUGUAUCUUGAGAGCGGAUUAAAGUCUGUUGGAACACAGCGCCUUAGAGGGUGACAGCCCCGUAAAAUCUAUUCUCAUUGUAAGAUACUUUCGAAGAGUCGAGUUGUUUGGGAAUGCAGCUCUAAGUGGGAGGUAAAUUCCUUCUAAAGCUAAAUAUUGACGAGAGACCGAUAGCGAACAAGUACUGUGAAGGAAAGAUGAAAAGCACUUUGAAAAGAGAGUGAAAAAGUACGUGAAAUUGUUAAAAGGGAAGGGUAUUGAAUCAGACUUGGUGCUGUUGUUCAACUGUGUUUCGGCAUAGUGUACUCAGCAGUACUAGGCCAAGGUGGGGUGUUUGGGAGUGAAAAAGAAGUUGGAACGUAACUCUUCGGAGUGUUAUAGCCUACUUUCAUAGCUCCUCAGGCGCCUCAGGACUGCGCUCGGCAAGAUGCAUGCAAUAUG
rnacentral:rRNA from 1 species